CCUACGGGUGGCAGCAGUGGGGAAUAUUGGACAAUGGGGGAAACCCUGAUCCAGCGACGCCGCGUGAGUGAAGAAGUAUUUCGGUACGGAAAGCCCUAUCAGCAGGAAAGAAAAUGACGGUACCUGACUAAGAAGCCCCGGCAAACUACGUGCCAGCAGCGGCGGUAAUACGUAGGGGGCAAGCGUUAUCCGGAUUUACUGGGUGGAAAGGGAGCGUAGACGGGAGCGCAAGGCUGGAGUGAAAUGCCGGGGCCCAACCCCGGAACUGCCCUGGAAACCGGGAAGCUGGAGUGCAGGAGAGGUAAGCGGAAUUCGUGGUGUAGCGGUGAAAUGCGUAGAUAUCAGGAGGAACACCGGCGGCGAAGGCGGCUUACUGGACUGUAACUGACGUUGAGGCUCGAAGGCGUGGGGAGCGAACAGGAUUAGAUACCCGAGUAGUC
rnacentral:rRNA from 1 species